rnacentral:rRNA from 1 species
UCGAGCGCUCUCUUCGGAGGGAGCGGCGGACGGGUGAGUAACGCGUGGGAACGUGCCCUUCUCUAUGGAAUAGCCACUGGAAACGGUGAGUAAUACCAUAUACGCCCUUCGGGGGAAAGAUUUAUCGGAGAAGGAUCGGCCCGCGUUAGAUUAGGUAGUUGGUGGGGUAAUGGCCUACCAAGCCUACGAUCUAUAGCUGGUUUUAGAGGAUGAUCAGCCACACUGGGACUGAGACACGGCCCAGACUCCUACGGGAGGCAGCAGUGGGGAAUCUUAGACAAUGGGCGCAAGCCUGAUCUAGCCAUGCCGCGUGAGUGAUGAAGGCCUUAGGGUCGUAAAGCUCUUUCGCCAGAGAUGAUAAUGACAGUAUCUGGUAAAGAAACCCCGGCUAACUCCGUGCCAGCAGCCGCGGUAAUACGGAGGGGGUUAGCGUUGUUCGGAAUUACUGGGCGUAAAGCGCACGUAGGCGGAUUAGAAAGUUGGGGGUGAAAUCCCGGGGCUCAACCUCGGAACUGCCUCCAAAACUCCUAGUCUAGAGUUCGAGAGAGGUGAGUGGAAUUCCAAGUGUAGAGGUGAAAUUCGUAGAUAUUUGGAGGAACACCAGUGGCGAAGGCGGCUCACUGGCUCGAUACUGACGCUGAGGUGCGAAAGUGUGGGGAGCAAACAGGAUUAGAUACCCUGGUAGUCCACACCGUAAACGAUGAAUGCCAGUCGUCGGGUAGUAUACUGCUCGGUGACACACCUAACGGAUUAAGCAUUCCGCCUGGGGAGUACGGUCGCAAGAUUAAAACUCAAAGGAAUUG